UAGGGAAGCGAUCCACGACACAUAUAUAUAAGCCCUCCUCCUCCUCCUCCUCAUCACUACCACAGCUCAUGUCCCCACUGUGAAGUGUUCGUUUACAGUCUGUCAACAUGAGAGUUUUGUCGCUGUUGUUUGUUUUGGUGGCAGCCCUGGCCGCCCUGAUGGGGUCAACCAGUGCUCUGCCUGACCCCAACGCCCUGGCCGACCCUAACCCCGGCCCUGACCCACAGUUUGGAUUUGGUCGUCGCAGAUUUGGUCGUCGUAGAUUUGGUCGUCGUAGAUUUGGUCGUAGCUCUGAUUAAUCAAGAGUGGGCUCUCUACGACCUUCUCUCAAGUGAGAGGGUCAUUGUUUCCUUGAUGGAAAACAACGACCUAAUAGUUUAAGUGAAGUGAAUAGAAUAAGUGUAAUGAAUUAUUGAAGAAAGUAUUGACUCCUGCAGCCCCUGGAUGUUAUUGAUAUGCCGCGAGUUAUUGACUGAAAAAUACUGUUAUUUUGUUGAAUUCCACUAAGCUACUGGGGCCAGUCCAACACCUCAAUGCAUGGGGCUUCAUCCUCCCGAACCUCUAUCGACCAGACCUUCAACCUUCAGCACUACCUCGUCAUAUCCUUAAACUUCCAGGAACUCUUUACUUCCAGAGUAUAUAAAUAAAUAAAUAAAUACCA